rnacentral:lncRNA from 1 species
AUCAGCUAAGAAUGACUGUUAACUCAGAAAACUGUUUCAUGAGAUGGAGAAAUAACAAAAACCUUACUGUUUUUGAAGUUGAUGAUUUUUUUCAUCCUUUCCUCCCAGUUUGCUAAGUUGGAAGGCAUCCUGAGAUGAGUUUUCUGUUUCAGAAACAACAGCUACAAAAAAGAAGAAAAGCCCCCAAAUUUAGAGUAAAUUAACAGGGCAAAGUUAUAUGUUUCACAAAUAGGAAGAAGAUUCUGCAGGUAGAGAGCUGAAUCAUUUCUGAAGGGUAAGCUUCCGAGCAAACACAUAUAAAUCUUCAAGAGUAUAAAUUAGCACAUAAGAGGGUUAUUCAUUCAAGCCAAAUGAAUUUCCACUGCUCUGCUUUGUUUCACAUGUGGGCAAACUGGGCUGUCAGAAGAACGCUCAGCCAUGACUCCUCAUGGGCACUGGACACCUGCAGCAGGCACAUAGGAAAAAUCUCAGGCUCUCCCAAUCCCAGCAGUUAGGACAGCUGCCUAAAACCGGCCCACCUUGUCUUGGUGAUUCUUUGCCAGUUUGUCCAGGCAGAACCUUAUUCUUUUUGCCAAACAAACGACCAGUGGAGGACUUGAUGCUCUUCUUCUUUGGGGCUUUGUGGAGCGCGUCCUGGUGAUUCUUUGCCAGUUUGUCCAGGCAGAACCUUUUUCUUUUUGCCAAACAAACGACCAGUGGAGGACUUGAUGCUCUUCUUCUUUGGGGCUUUGUGGAGCGCAUCCUGCCUGCUGUCACUGGUACUGGGAUUGUUCACAGGACCUUCCUGGGAGCCUGUUGAGCUUCAAAGAAAUAAAAUGGAUUUUUACCACCCUCUUCCCAGCUCCACAGUCCAUUCACACGUA